UACGUAGGGUGCGAGCGUUGUCCGGAAUUACUGGGCGUAAAGAGCUCGUAGGUGGUUUGUCGCGUCGUCUGUGAAAUUCCGGGGCUUAACUUCGGGCGUGCAGGCGAUACGGGCAAUACUUGAGUGCUGUAGGGGAGACUGGAAUUCCUGGUGUAGCGGUGAAAUGCGCAGGUAUCAGGAGGAACACCAAUGGCGAAGGCAGGUCUCUGGGCAGUUACUGACGCUGAGGAGCGAAAGCAUGGGUAGCGAACAGGAUUAGAUA
rnacentral:rRNA from 1 species